rnacentral:rRNA from 1 species
CCAGACAAAGUGCGGUAAUACGUAGGGCGCAAGCGUUGUCCGGAAUUAUUGGGCGUAAAGAGCUCGUAGGCGGCUUGUCGCGUCGGUUGUGAAAGCCCGGGGCUUAACCCCGGGUCUGCAGUCGAUACGGGCAGGCUAGAGUUCGGUAGGGGAGAUCGGAAUUCCUGGUGUAGCGGUGAAAUGCGCAGAUAUCAGGAGGAACACCGGUGGCGAAGGCGGAUCUCUGGGCCGAUACUGACGCUGAGGAGCGAAAGCGUGGGGAGCGAACAGGAUUAGAUACCCUGGUAGUCCACGCCGUAAACGGUGGGAACUAGGUGUUGGCGACAUUCCACGUCGUCGGUGCCGCAGCUAACGCAUUAAGUUCCCCGCCUGGGGAGUACGGCCGCAAGGCUAAAACUCAAAGGAAUUGACGGGGGCCCGCACAAGCAGCGGAGCAUGUGGCUUAAUUCGACGCAACGCGAAGAACCUUACCAAGGCUUGACAUACACCGGAAACGGCCAGAGAUGGUCGCCUCCCUUGUGGUCGGUGUACAGGUGGUGCAUGGCUGUCGUCAGCUC